rnacentral:rRNA from 1 species
GGUGUAGGCGGUCGGGCAAGUCGGAUGUGAAAGCCCUUGGCUCAACUGAGGAAGUGCAUUCGAAACUGUUCGACUUGAGUAUGGGAGAGGAAGGUGGAAUUCUCGGUGUAGCGGUGACAUGCGUAGAUAUCGAGAGGAACACCGGUGGCGAAGGCGGCCUUCUGGCCCAAUACUGACGCUGAGACCCGAAAGCGUGGGGAGCAAACA